UCGAACUUCAGUAGCUUCCUUGGGGUACUUACGGGCCCAGUCAUGGACAUCUGCAGCCUCGAAACCAGGGCAAACAUGAGGACCCAGAUCAACCAAGUCAUUAUAAUCUUGCACAUUGACAAGAUAGUCAGCUUGGAGCUUCUCCAGAUGGUUGACCACACGUUGAAGCUCUUCAGUUGCAAGUCGAGCUUCCUCAAUUGCACGUUGAG
rnacentral:lncRNA from 1 species